GAUGAAGAACGCAGCGAAAUGCGAUACGUAAUGUGAAUUGCAAAUUCAGUGAAUCAUCGAGUCUUUGAACGCACAUUGCGCCCCCUGGUAUUCCGGGGGGCAUGCCUGUCCGAGCGUCAUUGCUGCACUCAAGCACGGCUUGUGUGUUGGGCCCCGUCCUCCGAUCCCGGGGGACGGGCCCGAAAGGCAGCGGCGGCACCGCGUCCGGUCCUCGAGCGUAUGGGGCUUUGUCACCCGCUCUGGAGGCCCGGCCGGCGCUUGCCGAUCAACCCAAAUUUUUAUCCAGGUUGACCUCGGAUCAGGUAGGGAUACCCGCUGAACUUAAGCAUAUCAAUAAGCGGAGGA
rnacentral:misc_RNA from 1 species